GCUAAAACAGAGGGUUUGGACUUCAUUCUAAAGCUGAGUUUUUUUUCCGGCGUGUGCCUACUGGGCAGGUAUGAAGACAUGAAGACAUUCACAGUUUUCACUGGCAGGUGCCGCCGCAUGCAGGCUCUCUUCUUGACACCAUUUCCACACUCCAUCUCUUUUUGCUGAGUGCCAAGCAGAGAAGCAGUAUGUACCAUUUUUUAAGGCUUUGGUAUGACCUGGCCGGUUGAUCUUAUAU